AUGCGGGAGCGCGUCAAGUUUCUCCGCUCCCUCGGCCUCGGCCCCGACGACCUCGCCGCCUACCCGCUCGCCCUCGGCAGCAGCGUCCGCAAGAACAUGGUCCCCGUCCUUGACUACCUCGGCAAGAUCGGCGUCCGCCGCGACGAGCUCCCGCACCUGCUCCGCCGCUACCCGCAGGUGCUCCACGCCGGCAUCGUCGUCGACCUCGCGCCCGUCGUCAAGUACCUCCAGGGGGUGGACGUCAAGCCCGACGACGUGCCGCGCGUGCUCGAGCGCUACCCGGAGCUCCUCGGCUUCAAGCUCGAGGGCACCUGUCCAGUUCCUGUCCAUAGCUGUGGCACAAGGGGUUCACAUGCUCUCUCGCAUGCCUGCUCAACUACUCUGAUGCAAAAUUCGAUGAGCGUAUGA
rnacentral:rRNA from 1 species